GGGGGGGGGGGGGGGGGGGGCGGGGGCGGGGGGGGGGGGGGGGCGGAGGGGAAGCGUGCGGCGCUGGGGUUGGCGGCGGACGGGGGAGUGACACGUGGAUAACCUACCUAUAAGACUGGGGUAACUUCGGGAGACCGGAGCUAAUACCGGAUAAUAUUUUGAACCGCAUGGUUCAAAAGUGAAAGACGGUCUUGCUGUCACUUAUAGAUGGAUCCGCGCUGCAUUAGCUAGUUGGUAAGGUAACGGCUUACCAAGGCAACGAUGCAUAGCCGACCUGAGAGGGUGAUCGGCCACACUGGAACUGAGACACGGUCCAGACUCCUACGGGAGGCAGCAGUAGGGAAUCUUCCGCAAUGGGCGAAAGCCUGACGGAGCAACGCCGCGUGAGUGAUGAAGGUCUUCGGAUCGUAAAACUCUGUUAUUAGGGAAGAACAUAUGUGUAAGUAACUGUGCACAUCUUGACGGUACCUAAUCAGAAAGCCACGGCUAACUACGUG
rnacentral:rRNA from 1 species